rnacentral:rRNA from 1 species
UACGUAGGGGGCAAGCGUUGUCCGGAUUUAUUGGGCGUAAAGAGCGUGUAGGCGGUUAGGUAGGUCCGUUGUGAAAACUCGAGGCUCAACCUCGAGACGCCGAUGGAAACCAUCUGACUAGAGUCCGGAAGAGGAGAGUGGAAUUCCUGGUGUAGCGGUGAAAUGCGCAGAUAUCAGGAAGAACACCCGUGGCUAAGGCGGCUCUCUAGUACGUGACUGACGCUGAGACGCGAAAGCUAGGGUAGCGAACGGG